rnacentral:rRNA from 1 species
UACGUAGGGUGCAAGCGUUAAUCGGAAUUACUGGGCGUAAAGCGUGCGCAGGCGGUUAUGUAAGACAGAUGUGAAAUGCCCGGGCUUAACCGAGGAACUGCCCUCCAAACUGCUUGGCUUGAGUCCGGGAGAGGUGAGUGGAAUUCCCAGUGUAGCGGUGAAAUGCGUAGAUAUUGGGAGGAACACCAGUGGCGAAGGCGGCUCACUGGACCGGAACUGACGCUGAGGCGCGAAAGCGUGGGGAGCAAACGGG